GCGGGCGCUGGGGCGAAGCGGGCUAUGUGACACUGCCCCGCCCCCGCCCGGCCUACCCCUCCCUAGGGUCUGGGGCCGCGGGAUCCGCCGGGAGCAUCCACUGGAUCCGCGCUGUCCCCACCUGGGGGGCCGGGCGCCGCCACACCUGCGAAGCUGAGAAGCCCCAGUGCCCCGCGCGGGGCGGGGAGAGGGGAGCGUCCGAGACCCCGGGCCGCGCCUGGGGCAGGGGACGUGGGAGUGUGUGGGUGCGUGUGUGAGCGUGUGGGUGCGUGUGUGAGCGCCGCGCGCAGGCCCCGGCGCCCCUGCGCGGCCAUGCGGCGGGCGGAGGGGACCGGGGGCAGCGCGGCCGGCCGGCCCCGCGCGGUGGGCUCGGUUAGGUGCGCGCGGGGCCCAGCUCGCCUCGCCGCGUGCGGUGUGUGCUGGGGGCUCGGAGGGGAGGCCGAGGCUCCCACGGGGGUUUCUCACUGUGGGCCCCGCGCACACGCCCCAGCGCGCGCCCGCCGCGCAGCCUCCACGCCCGGCUGGGAAACGCCCCGCAACCCUGGGCGUUAGGACGCCCCCUCCCCCGCCGCGUGCUUCGAAUAGAGCGUCCCCAACCGCUCCCGUCCUUUGACACCGGGACUAUUUUGGCUCGUAUAUAACAUUUUUAGAAACCACGAUCUUUUUGAGCUGCGUGUUAUGUGACUAUGAUAUAUGACGGGUUACCUAGACCCUUAGAUAAUGAAAAAUUGAAAGGGAACUUCAAAAGUGAUUAGAUUUUUUACCAUUUCAGGACACCCGGCGGGAAGCUCGCCUUGCCCUCUGUUCAGUGCCGUGAAUAUCUUCUGAGUUCAACUACAAAAGAUAACGUUCUUGGCUGAGACUUCUCCUUGUAAUAAAGGAUUAACAAGAGGAGAAAACAUAGGUUCGUCUGUACCUGAGGAGCCCCGUGAAGACAGGGGCCUCGGAAGGCAGCCUGGGCCUCGAGCGGGCCGGGCGCGGGAGGGUGGGGCAGGGUCUGGCCCAGGUGGGCUGUCCGGCCAGGUGGCCGUCUCUCGGGUGAAGUGGCCUCUGGCGGUAGUGCCCCUCCUGGCGCGGCCGCUCCUGGGGUGCGUGUGCCUCAGCGAAGCUCGCCUCAGGGCUCUUCUCAGCUCGUCCUGGGACUCAGUGUCUCAGAGGGACCGUGUGCGCGAGAGGCGGCUCUCGGGGCGGCCGUCUGGAGGCGGCGGGCUGGCUGGGAUGGGGGGGAGCCCCGGCCGCCGCCCGGAGACAGGCCGGGAGCCCAGGCGCUCCGCGAGGCCCCGGACAACUACGGAGCUCUCAGCCUCAGUCCACCCACGUGUAACCACGAAGGCUGCCGCACGAUCACCGAGAGGAGCUAGACUGUCACACUGCCGGGCUUUUGACAGUUGUGCCGUAAACACUGUUUUUAUUGUUUUGGUUGCCAUAAAUAAUUAAGUAAGCGAUCAGUAUAACUGUCAUCGCUUUGUAAGUGCAUCUUACAAACAGCUGGGAAAGAUUCUAAUGGACGGUUUCGGUUUUCUAGUCUCCUCCACAGGCUGCAGGUGGGCGGGCUUGUCUUCUGCAGUGGGAUCAGCCGUGGCCUGUUGUAGUCACGGGCGGGCUGCGAGGGAGUGGGACACCCGGCCGGAGAGCGGCUCGCUGGAAGCCAGCGGUGGGGCAGGGAGUCGGCCCUGCAAGCGUCAACAACGGUGUCUCCGUAAGCCGUGCACUGCUCGGUGCAGCUCUCCGUGUCUGUGUUUUAUUUUACAGUGGAAAACAACUCCCCUGCCGCCCCGAACAAAAUAAAAAAAAAAGGAACAAAGGAAGGAAGAAGAGAAAAAAGCAGCAAACCAAGAGGCAAGACGAAAGAAAGUUCCAAGUCUGACCAGGAUCGGAGACGCAGCAGGCUUCCCCCAGCGCUGAGCUGUGCCCCCUGAGCCUGAGGGGAGCCCCAGUCAGAACAGGCAGAUGACAAGGCAGGAGGUGGCGGAGACCUGCUCCUGGCUGCUGGGUCCGUGGGUCAGGUCUAGGCUCACUAGGCUCGGCGUUUCGUCUGGCCACCCCUCAGUAGACCGCUGGUGUCCGUGGACAUGAUCUGUCCACCCAGAAGCUCGUUACCAAAGCCAGAGAUCUGGCCUCCAGCCGGAGGAAGCCCGUCUUAGAAAUGUGAAGCCUGGUGCCCUGCUCCUCCUCGCCCUCGGCUCUGCCACGUCUGCCUUGGCCUGGACGUCCUGUAACCUGGGCUGACUUGCCCUUGGGCCCAGGUAGCCUGUGACCAAGGGGGUGCUCUUGGACACAUUAUUAUCUUUGUCUUCCCAAUCUUUGUUCUUACGAACUUUAUAUUGGGGCUGCAAAUUUGGCCUUUUUAACACUGACCCUGAGCCAUAGUUGAAAAGCCUGCCUCCUGCAAGUCUGUGUUUCUGUUCCUUUCUGCUUUCAGAGCGGGCACCUGAGGGAAAAGCUUGUCUGUCUAUUACAGGGCUUUACUGAAGUCCACUGGAAGCCUCCGCCACUGAUGGCCUGAUAUUUUUUCAUCAAGUCCUAAAGUGGCAGCCUCUUUGGAAUGCGGUGAGAAUCCAAGAUGCACAGGCGUCUUUCCACCAGCUUGCUUUGUGGCUGUCCAGGGAUGGUUGCAGUUUCCUACUCGGGUGGGAGGUCCUCACUGCUCCUUGUUCGCCUCCACUCAGCUCGCCUUCCUUGUGUUAGGACUGGCAGCUUGCAGUACUCCACUUCUGGGAGCCAACUGCUCUCUUCGUUGGUGUUCACUAGUCAGCUUGGGCCGCUGUAACAAAAUUCCAUAGACUGACAUGAGUCAAGAUGGUGGUGUAAGUACACUCUGAACUCAUCUCCUCCCACAAACACAACCAGGUUACAAC